GCUUUUGCGCAGGGGCAGUAUUGUAGCCGAUGAGGUUUAUCCGAGGCGUGAUUAUUACUAAUUGUAAUCAAGUUUCUCUGGAUUGGUUUACUAAUUGGUCUAUUCUUUGGUGCUCAUGAAUUUAA
rnacentral:snRNA from 1 species